UGUUUUUCCCACAUUGAGCUGAAAAUUUCAAAUACAAAUACUCAACUUGCUUUCCAUCGUGCCUCUCUCGAUUCCACACAAACUUAGAUCAAUUUAUUCCUGUCACGAAAUCAAGAGAGGUUCUCUCCCCCAGAAGAGACAGAAACUACAAACGCGAUCCCUGAGCUAGAUUUUGGACAGAGAAGAGUCUUUCAACCUCACUCUGAGCUUGUGGCUCUUGUCACUGUUGGUGGAGUUCUUCGAUUUGAAGAAGAAACAAGUCCGAAGAAUUCAUUCACUGUUGUUCAUUGUGAAAGGUUGGAGUUAGGCUCAAGCACUGGAAGUGGGUGAUUUGCUUGGCUGUGACUUUAGCAGAGAUUAUAAUUAAAGACGGAAGCCUCUACAGCAGCCAAGGUUUACAACAUCUAACAGUAAAACAUUUGACGCAUUUCUCGGCACUGUAUUCAUCCAGCAGAAACCGUCAAAGGAGGAAUGUCCAUGGUGUGCUAUAGCAUCAGCAACAAAG